GGGGGUGCAGCUCAGUGAUAGAGCACUUGCCUCAAAUGCAUGAAGCCCUGGAUUUGAUCUCCAACACCACAA
rnacentral:tRNA from 1 species